rnacentral:rRNA from 1 species
UCCGGUUGAUCCUGCCGGACCCGACUGCUAUCGGAGUGGGGCUAAGCCAUGCGAGUCGUACGCUUCUUGACUGCAAGAGGCGUGGCGAACGGCUCAGUAACACGUAGCUAACUUAACCUAGAGACGUGGAUAACCCCGGGAGACUGGGACUAAUCCGCGAUAGAUCAAGGCUCCUGGAAUGGGCUUUGGUCGAAAGGGAUGGACAAGCAUGUUUUGUCCAUCUGCUCUAGGAUAGGGCUGCGGCCGAUCAGGUUGUUGGUGGGGUAAUGGCCCACCAAGCCUAUAACCGGUACGGGCUUUGAGAGAAGGAGCCCGGAGAUGGACACUGAGACAAGGGUCCAGGCCCUACGGGGCGCAGCAGGCGCGAAACCUUCGCAAUACGCGAAAGCGUGACGAGGUCACUCCGAGUGCCACUCGCUGAGGGUGGCUUUUCCCAAGUCUAAAAAGCUUGGGGAAUAAGGGGAGGGUAAGUCUGGUGUCAGCCGCCGCGGUAAUACCAGCUCCCCGAGUGGUCGGGACGUUUAUUGGGCCUAAAGCAUCCGUAGCCGGUCUUGUAGGUCUUCUGUUAAACCCAACGGCCCAACCGUUGGACUGCAGAAGAUACCGCAGGACUAGGAGGCGGGAGAGGCGGACGGUACUCCAUGGGUAGGGGUAAAAUCCUUUGAUCCAUGGAAGACCACCAGCGGCGAAGGCGGUCCGCCAGAACGCGCUCGACGGUGAGGGAUGAAAGCUGGGGGAGCGAACCGGAUUAGAUACCCGGGUAGUCCCAGCUGUAAACGAUGCGGGCUAGGUGUUGACACGGCUACAAGCCGUGUCAGUGCCGCAGGGAAGCCGUUAAGCCCGCCGCCUGGGGAGUACGGCCGCAAGGCUGAAACUUAAAGGAAUUGGCGGGGGAGCACCACAAGGGGUGAAGCUUGCGGUUUAAUUGGAGUCAACGCCGGAAACCUUACCGGGGGCGACAGCAGAGUGAAGGCCAGAUUAAAGGUCUUGCCAGACAAGCUGAGAGGUGGUGCAUGGCC